rnacentral:rRNA from 1 species
UGGGGAAUCUUAGACAAUGGGGGAAACCCUGAUCUAGCCAUGCCGCGUGAUCGAUGAAGGCCUUAGGGUUGUAAAGAUCUUUCAGGUGGGAAGAUAAUGACUGUACCACCAGAAGAAGCCCCGGCUAACUCCGUGCCAGCAGCCGCGGUAAUACGGAGGGGGCUAGCGUUAUUCGGAAUUACUGGGCGUAAAGCGCACGUAGGCGGACUGGAAAGUCAGAGGUGAAAUCCCAGGGCUCAACCUUGGAACGUCCUUUGAAACUCUCAGUCUUGAGGUCGGGAGAGGUGAGUGGAAUUCCGAGUGUAGAGGUGAAAUUCGUAGAUAUUCGGAGGAACACCAGUGGCGAAGGCGGCUCACUGGCUCGAUACUGACGCUGAGGUGUGAAAGCGUGGGGAGCAAACA